rnacentral:lncRNA from 1 species
UGAGCACCACCCCCAACACUUGACUGAUGAACAGCACCCCCAACACGUGACUGAUGAGCACCACCCUCACUACUUCCACAGUGCUGACUAUGCUUCCAAUAUCGGCUCCUCAAGCAGAAGUAGGCCACAGGCAUGCCAGCAGUCACACGGCUUUGGAACCACCAGAGGCGUCAUUCUACUCAUCUGGAAGACUGUAAAGAAAGACACUUACUGCGUAAGAAGGGCAGCUGAGAGCACACUGGUACUGUUGGUACUUUACAGCUGAGCAAGAUGAGGAACACAGGGUUCAGACACGAGAAAAAAGUCCCAAUAGAUGAACUUCUUCCGGUCUUGCAUGGCUUUGUAGCCCAUGCAGUGUUUGUUAUGACGGUUUGG